UAAGUUAAUAAGGGCGCACGGUGGAUGCCUUGGCACUAGGAGCCGACGAAGGACGUGACAAACGACGAUAUGCCUUGGGUAGCUGUAAGUAAGCGAUGAUCCAGGGAUUUCCGAAUGGGGGAACCCAACAGGUAAUACCUGUUACCUACAUCUGUUAAGGAUGUGAGGAGGAAGACGCAGUGAACUGAAACAUCUAAGUAGCUGCAGGAAGAGAAAGCAAAAGCCGAUUGCCUUAGUAGCGGCGAGCGAAACGGCAGAAGGGCAAACCGAAGAGUUACUCUUCGGGGUUAUAGGACUGCAAUGUGGACUCAAAGAUUAUAGAAGAAUGAUUUGGGAAGAUCAGCCAAAGAGAGUAAUAGCCUCGUAUUUAAAAUAGUCUUUGUACUUAGCAGUAUCCUGAGUACGGCGGGACACGUGAAAUCCCGUCGGAAUCUGGGAGGACCAUCUCCCAACCCUAAAUACUCCCUAGUGACCGAUAGUGAACCAGUACCGUGAGGGAAAGGUGAAAAGCACCCCGGGAGGGGAGUGAAAUAGAACCUGAAACCGUGUGCCUACAACAAGUUCGAGCCCGUUAAUGGGUGAGAGCGUGCCUUUUGUAGAAUGAACCGGCGAGUUACGUUAUGAUGCGAGGUUAAGUUGAAGAGACGGAGCCGUAGGGAAACCGAGUCUGAAUAGGGCGCCUUAGUAUCAUGACGUAGACCCGAAACCAUGUGACCUACCCAUGAGCAGGUUGAAGGUGCGGUAAGACGCACUGGAGGACCGAACCAGGGCACGUUGAAAAGUGCUUGGAUGACUUGUGGGUAGCGGAGAAAUUCCAAACGAACUUGGAGAUAGCUGGUUCUCUCCGAAAUAGCUUUAGGGCUAGCGUCGACAUUAGAGAUUCUUGGAGGUAGAGCACUGUUUGGGUGAGGGGUCCAUCCCGGAUUACCAAUCUCAGAUAAACUCCGAAUGCCAAUGAAUUAUGGUCGGCAGUCAGACUGCGAGUGCUAAGAUCCGUAGUCGAAAGGGAAACAGCCCAGACCACCAGCUAAGGUCCCAAAAUAAUUGUUAAGUGGAAAAGGAUGUGGGGUUGCACAGACAACUAGGAUGUUAGCUUAGAAGCAGCUAUUCAUUCAAAGAGUGCGUAAUAGCUCACUAGUCGAGUGACCCUGCGCCGAAAAUGUACCGGGGCUAAAACAAUUUACCGAAGCUGUGGAUACCUUUAUAGGUAUGGUAGGAGAGCGUUCUAUGUGUGAUGAAGGUAUACCGUGAGGAGUGCUGGAACGCAUAGAAGUGAGAAUGCCGGUAUGAGUAGCGAAAGACAGGUGAGAAUCCUGUCCACCGUAAGACUAAGGUUUCCAGGGGAAGGCUCGUCCGCCCUGGGUUAGUCGGGACCUAAGGAGAGACCGAAAGGUGUAUCCGAUGGACAACAGGUUGAUAUUCCUGUACUAGAGUAUGUAGUGAUGGAGGGACGCAGUAGGCUAACUAAAGCAGACGAUUGGAAGAGUCUGUCUAAGCAGUGAGGUGUGAAUUGAGUCAAAUGCUUAAUUCUAUAACAUUGAGCUGUGAUGGGGAGCGAAGUUUAGUAGCGAAGUUAGUGACGUCACACUGCCAAGAAAAGCUUCUAGCGUUUAAACAUACUCUACCCGUACCGCAAACCGACACAGGUAGUCGAGGCGAGUAGCCUCAGGUGAGCGAGAGAACUCUCGUUAAGGAACUCGGCAAAAUGACCCCGUAACUUCGGGAGAAGGGGUGCUGACUUAAAGUCAGCCGCAGUGAAUAGGCCCAAGCAACUGUUUAUCAAAAACACAGCUCUCUGCUAAAUCGUAAGAUGAUGUAUAGGGGGUGACGCCUGCCCGGUGCUGGAAGGUUAAGAGGAGUGCUUAGCGUAAGCGAAGGUAUGAAUUGAAGCCCCAGUAAACGGCGGCCGUAACUAUAACGGUCCUAAGGUAGCGAAAUUCCUUGUCGGGUAAGUUCCGACCCGCACGAAAGGCGUAAUGAUUUGGGCACUGUCUCAACGAGAGACUCGGUGAAAUUUUAGUACCUGUGAAGAUGCAGGUUACCCGCGACAGGACGGAAAGACCCCAUGGAGCUUUACUGCAGUUUGAUAUUGAGUGUCUGUACCACAUGUACAGGAUAGGUAGGAGUCUAAGAGAUCGGGACGCCAGUUUCGAAGGAGACGCUGUUGGGAUACUACCCUUGUGUUAUGGCCACUCUAACCCAGAUAGGUGAUCCCUAUCGGAGACAGUGUCUGACGGGCAGUUUGACUGGGGCGGUCGCCUCCUAAAAGGUAACGGAGGCGCCCAAAGGUUCCCUCAGAAUGGUUGGAAAUCAUUCGCAGAGUGUAAAGGUAUAAGGGAGCUUGACUGCGAGAGCUACAACUCGAGCAGGGACGAAAGUCGGGCUUAGUGAUCCGGUGGUUCCGUAUGGAAGGGCCAUCGCUCAACGGAUAAAAGCUACCCUGGGGAUAACAGGCUUAUCUCCCCCAAGAGUUCACAUCGACGGGGAGGUUUGGCACCUCGAUGUCGGCUCGUCGCAUCCUGGGGCUGUAGUCGGUCCCAAGGGUUGGGCUGUUCGCCCAUUAAAGCGGCACGCGAGCUGGGUUCAGAACGUCGUGAGACAGUUCGGUCCCUAUCCGUCGCGGGCGUAGGAAAUUUGAGAGGAUCUGCUCCUAGUACGAGAGGACCAGAGUGGACUUACCGCUGGUGUACCAGUUGUCUUGCCAAAGGCAUCGCUGGGUAGCUAUGUAGGGAAGGGAUAAACGCUGAAAGCAUCUAAGUGUGAAACCCACCUCAAGAUGAGAUUUCCCAUGAUUAUAUAUCAGUAAGAGCCCUGAGAGAUGAUCAGGUAGAUAGGUUAGAAGUGGAAGUGUGGCGACACAUGUAGCGGACUAAUACUAAUAGCUCGAGGACUUAUCCA
rnacentral:rRNA from 1 species